rnacentral:rRNA from 1 species
GAUGAACGCUGGCGGCGUGCCUAAUACAUGCAAGUCGAGCGAACGGACGAGAAGCUUGCUUUUCUGAUGUUAGCGGCGGACGGGUGAGUAACACGUGGAUAACCUACCUAUAAGACUGGGAUAACUUCGGGAAACCGGAGCUAAUACCGGAUAAUAUUUUGAACCGCAUGGUUCUAUAGUGAAAGAUGGUUUUGCUGUCACUUAUAGAUGGAUCCGCGCUGCAUUAGCUAGUUGGUAAGGUAACGGCUUACCAAGGCAACGAUGCAUAGCCGACCUGAGAGGGUGAUCGGCCACACUGGAACUGAGACACGGUCCAGACUCCUACGGGAGGCAGCAGUAGGGAAUCUUCCGCAAUGGGCGAAAGCCUGACGGAGCAACGCCGCGUGAGUGAUGAAGGUCUUCGGAUCGUAAAACUCUGUUAUUAGGGAAGAACAUAUGUGUAAGUAACUGUGCACAUCUUGACGGUACCUAAUCAGAAAGCCACGGCUAACUACGUG